rnacentral:rRNA from 1 species
AUUGAACGCUGGCGGCAUGCCUUACACAUGCAAGUCGAACGGCAGCACGGGAGCAAUCCUGGUGGCGAGUGGCGAACGGGUGAGUAAUAUAUCGGAACGUGCCCAGUCGUGGGGGAUAACGUAGCGAAAGCUACGCUAAUACCGCAUACGAUCUACGGAUGAAAGCGGGGGAUCGCAAGACCUCGCGCGAUUGGAGCGGCCGAUAUCAGAUUAGGUAGUUGGUGGGGUAAAGGCUCACCAAGCCGACGAUCUGUAGCUGGUCUGAGAGGACGACCAGCCACACUGGGACUGAGACACGGCCCAGGCUCCAACGGGAGGCAGCAGUGGGGAAUUUUGGACAAUGGGCGCAAGCCUGAUCCAGCAAUGCCGCGUGCAGGAUGAAGGCCUUCGGGUUGUAAACUGCUUUUGUACGGAACGAAACGGCGAGCUCUAAUACAGUUUGCUAAUGACGGUACCGUAAGAAUAAGCACCGGCUAACUACGUGCCAGCAGCCGCAGUAA